GAGGGAGCCGGCUCUGGCCUUGGCCAGCCCAGAAAGGGGCUCCCACAGUGCAGCGGUGGGCUGAAGGGCCCCUCAAGUGCCGCCAAAGUGGGAGCCCAGGCAGAGGAGGCGCCGAGAGCAAGCGAGGGCUGUGAGGACUGCCAGCACACUGUCACCUCUUACUACUUUCCCAUAAAUUCUUUGGCAUAUGAAGAAAGGGAAAGAGAGAGAAAGAAGAAAAGAAAGGGACAAAAGAGGGAAGAGAGGAAAAGAGGAAAACAUCAACACAGAAGCAGAAAGGGUCCUCUCCCCAUGGCCACCGCAGCUAGGAAUAUGCGGAGUCACACUUGAAGCCAGCACAGCACUGGGUCACACCCAAGGCUUGCAAUGACUGAAAUCACAAGAAGCAAAACUGUGGAUGAGAGUCACCUUCAAACAAAGUUGCUCUUCCGAGCACUGAAGCAAAGCAUGUCCUGGCUCAAAAGGCCCUCAUUUAAAACCACAGCUACAGUCCGGUCUCAUGAAGAUGCUCGGCUGCUUGAGCGACCUUUCUUUAUAUUUCAUAAGUUCAUCUUUGCCUCAAAGACUGGUGAGUCUUAGUGAAGGAAAGCCAUGUGUUAUUUUGUUUUGAUAUUGAAACACUUAAAAUUUUUUUCUUUUAUUUUCACUUUUAAUGUGUUUACUUACACAGCCUAAUGUAUUUCAUGAUUCCUUAUACUAACAAUAGCCUCAUAUGGUUGAGGUCACUCCUUCACUGCAUGCACCGACUUCCUGCUCUCAGAAAAUAAAAGCAGCUUUUUAAAUUCUCAUCAUGCAUUGCAGCCACUUUUGUAAAACUGAUCUAACAAAAGACUACAACCCUUUCACAUAUUUUCAUUCUAUUAAUUAAUGUUGAGCUAAAAAAAAU
rnacentral:lncRNA from 10 species